rnacentral:rRNA from 1 species
CCUCCAAUUAGAUAAGAAUACCCGCUGAAUUUAAGCAUAUCAGUAAGCGGAGGAAA